GAGGGUAUAGCUCAGUGGCAGAGCACGUGAUUAGCAUGCACAAGGUCCUGGUUUCAAUCCCCAGCACCUCCA
rnacentral:tRNA from 1 species